rnacentral:rRNA from 1 species
GUGGGGAAUAUUGGACAAUGGGGGGAACCCUGAUCCAGCCAUGCCGCGUGUGUGAAGAAGGCCUUUUGGUUGUAAAGCACUUUAAGCGAGGAGGAGGCUACCGAGAUUAAUACUCUUGGAUAGUGGACGUUACUCGCAGAAUAAGCACCGGCUAACUCUGUGCCAGCAGCCGCGGUAAUACAGAGGGUGCAAGCGUUAAUCGGAUUUACUGGGCGUAAAGCGCGCGUAGGUGGCCAAUUAAGUCAAAUGUGAAAUCCCCGAGCUUAACUUGGGAAUUGCAUUCGAUACUGGUUGGCUAGAGUAUGGGAGAGGAUGGUAGAAUUCCAGGUGUAGCGGUGAAAUGCGUAGAGAUCUGGAUGAAUACCGAUGGCGAAGGCAGCCAUCUGGCCUAAUACUGACACUGAGGUGCGAAAGCAUGGGGAGCAAACAGGAUUAGAUACCCCUGUAGUCC